UACGUAGGUGGCGAGCGUUAUCCGGAAUUAUUGGGCGUAAAGCGCGCGUAGGCGGCGAGAUUAGUCUGAUGUGAAAGCCCCCGGCUCAACCGGGGAAGGUCAUUGGAAACUGUUUCGCUUGAGUGCAGAAGGGGAGAGUGGAAUUCCAUGUGUAGCGGUGAAAUGCGUAGAUAUAUGGAGGAACACCGGUGGCGAAUGCGGCUCUCUAGUCUGUAACUGACGCUGAGGCUCGAAAGCGUGGGGAGCGAACAGG
rnacentral:rRNA from 1 species